rnacentral:rRNA from 1 species
GACGAACGCUGGCGGCGUGCUUAACACAUGCAAGUCGAACGGAAAGGCCCUGCUUUUGUGGGCUGCUCGAGUGGCGAACGGGUGAGUAACACGUGAGUAACCUGCCCUUGACUUUGGGAUAACUUCAGGAAACUGGGGCUAAUACCGGCUAGGAGCUCCUGCUGCAUGGUGGGGGUUGGAAAGUUUCGGCGGUUGGGGAUGGACUCGCGGCUUAUCAGCUUGUUGGUGGGGUAGUGGCUUACCAAGGCUUUGACGGGUAGCCGGCCUGAGAGGGUGACCGGCCACAUUGGGACUGAGAUACGGCCCAGACUCGUACGGGAGGCAGCAGUGGGGAAUAUUGCACAAUGGGCGGAAGCCUAAGGCAGCAACGCCGCGUGCGGGAUGACGGCCUUCGGGUUGGAAACCGCUUUCGCCUGUGACGAAGCGUGAGUGACGGUAAUGGGUAAAGAAGCACCGGCUAACUACGUG